AUUAAGUGGGUCCUGAUGAGUUGAAAAGAUGCAAAGGAAGAGAUGGUGGUGGUGCUUUAAUGGCAAUAGCUCACUUAUUAAGGUUCUUUGAUGAAGUGAUCGAUUUCUUCUGGUGCUUUAAUUUGGAAAGUAAUUCAUUUUCAUAGAUUAUGGUGUAUGGGGUUCCCUAUGUUGUGGAAAGGUACGGCCAAGGGUUUCUUUUCCACAUGAUCUUCUCAAUCAACGGCAUAAUUUUGGAUUCGGCUCUUCAUUAGUUUUACUUUUAUGAUUUCUGUAACUGGU
rnacentral:misc_RNA from 1 species